UGGACCAGUGUCUAUACUUAUACAUACUUAUAGAUAUCUAUGACUUACUUAGUAAUAGUGAUGGUAGAAUAGUUACAUUUAUUUCUUGCAUAUUUCCACAACCCUGUAUCCAUAAUCACAUUCUGCUUUUGCUGCCAUUGUAUGUAGUGUAUUAUCUUAUUUGUUUUGUAUUUUUUGUAUUUUCCUUCUGCUAUCUCUACCUGAGCUGAGGUAAAUGGGAAAUGGCCUGUAUUUGUAUAGCGCUGUACUUAGUCCCUAUGACCCGAAAGCACUUUACACAUCCAGUCAUUCACCCAUUCACACACACAUUCACACACUGAUGAUGGCAGCUACAUUGUAGCCACAGCCACCCUGGGGCGCACUGACAGAGGCGAGGCUGCCGGACACUGGCGCCACCGGGCCCUCUGACCACCACCAGUAGGCAACGGGUGAAGUGUCUUGUCCAAGGACACAACGACCGAGACUGUAACACACGUUUCCCCACAGUGGGAUCAAUAAAGUCUUAUCUUAUCAAAUCACUGACCACAGAAGUAAUAUUAAAAUCAUCUGUCAGACACACAACAAUGGAGCUUUAUCUGAAAUUAGAAUCUGAAAUCUACAGUUUAUAGCUGUUACAAAAAAACCAAACAAAAAAAAAAACACCAUGAAGAUGCUUUAACACAAUUAUAUUUCCAACAAAACUGAAACAAAGUGAAAAAAAGAUCUAUGUCAAAUCAUUUACAGAGUACUGCAGAAAAAGACGACAUGUAAAAUACUGAAAAAUGUUUCAUUUAGAGCAGAAUCAAGACGUUCCCUGCAGCGCAUGUUGUUCCUAAACUUUCAGAUACAGUUGCUCCUCCCCAUGUGUUCUAAUGCCCCGCCCCCACAGCACUGAAGGGGGGAGGGAAGCCCUCCUCAGCUGAUUAUGACACCCCGCCAUGUUAGCUAUGAGAUGUUCCAGUACUGUAUAAUACUUUUAUUUAGUAUUAUAAAUUUAUCAGUCUUUUGUUGCCAUUUUUAUGAAGUUACCACAAUCAAAA
ensembl:lncRNA